rnacentral:rRNA from 1 species
UUCCGUAGGUGAACCUGCGGAGGGAGUCAUUACCCGAGUUAUACAACUCAUCAACCCUGUGAACAUACCUAUAACGUUGCCUCGGCGGGAACAGACGGCCCCGUAACACGGGCCGCCCCCGCCAGAGGACCCCCUAACUCUGUUUCUAUAAUGUUUCUUCUGAGUAAACAAGCAAAUAAAUUAAAACUUUCAACAACGGAUCUCUUGGCUCUGGCAUCGAUGAAGAACGCAGCGAAAUGCGAUAAGUAAUGUGAAUUGCAGAAUUCAGUGAAUCAUCGAAUCUUUGAACGCACAUUGCGCCCGCCAGUAUUCUGGCGGGCAUGCCUGUUCGAGCGUCAUUACAACCCUCAGGCCCCCGGGCCUGGCGUUGGGGAUCGGCGGAAGCCCCCUGCGGGCACAACGCCGUCCCCCAAAUACAGUGGCGGUCCCGCCGCAGCUUCCAUUGCGUAGUAGCUAACACCUCGCAACUGGAGAGCGGCGCGGCCACGCCGUAAAACACCCAACUUCUGAAUGUUGACCUCGAAUCAGGUAGGAAUACCCGCGGAACUUAAGCAUAUCAAUAAGCGGAGGA